rnacentral:rRNA from 1 species
AUUGAACGCUGGCGGCAUGCCUUACACAUGCAAGUCGAACGGCAGCACGGACUUCGGUCUGGUGGCGAGUGGCGAACGGGUGAGUAAUAUAUCGGAACGUACCUUUCAGUGGGGGAUAACUAUCCGAAAGGAUAGCUAAUACCGCAUAUUCUGUGAGCAGGAAAGCAGGGGAUCUUCGGACCUUGCGCUGAUUGAGCGGCCGAUAUCAGAUUAGCUAGUUGGUGAGGUAAAGGCUCACCAAGGCUACGAUCUGUAGCGGGUCUGAGAGGAUGAUCCGCCACACUGGAACUGAGACACGGUCCAGACUCCUACGGGAGGCAGCAGUGGGGAAUUUUGGACAAUGGGGGCAACCCCGAUCCAGCCAUGCCGCGUGAGUGAAGAAGGCCUUCGGGUUGUAAAGCUCUUUCGUCCGGGAAGAAAUCGCAUUGGCUAAUACCUGAUGUGGAUGACGGUACCGGAAUAAGAAGCACCGGCUAACUACGUGCCAGCAGCCGCCGUAACAC